AGUGAACGCUGGCGGUAGGCCUAACACAUGCAAGUCGAACGGCAGCACAGUAAGAGCUUGCUCUUACGGGUGGCGAGUGGCGGACGGGUGAGGAAUACAUCGGAAUCUACUUUUUCGCGGGGGAUAACGUAGGGAAACUUACGCUAAUACCGCAUACGAUCUACGGGUGAAAGCAGGGGAUCUUCGGACCUUGCGCGAUUGAAUGAGCCGAUGUCGGAUUAGCUAGUUGGCUGGGUAAAGGCCCACCAAGGCGACGAUCCGUAGCUGGUCUGAGAGGAUGAUCGGCCACACUGGAACUGAGACACGGUCCAGACUCCUACGGGAGGCAGCAGUGGGGAAUAUUGGACAAUGGGCGCAAGCCUGAUCCAGCCAUACCGCGUGGGUGAAGAAGGCCUUCGGGUUGUAAAGCCCUUUUGUUGGGAAAGAAAAGCAGCAGGUUAAUACCCCGCUGUUCUGACGGUACCCAAAGAAUAAGCACCGGCUAACUUCGUG
rnacentral:rRNA from 1 species